ACCCUGCAGGGAGUGCCUGGUGCUGAGCUGUGCUUCAGAGGAGCGCUUGAUUUUGGGAUCUUCCUUGCAACUGCUUGAACAGCAGAAUAUUGCGUUAAAAGCACUGCAGCCCAGGAGUAAAACAUGUUCAGUGUCUCCCCAGUGCUCCUUUUAUCUCUUUUAGAGGCAGGAGCAGUAGGACAGGUAAAUAACCCUUUCAGCUGUGGUGUUAAGUAAGCACACAAACCUACUCGGUUACUGCUGCUUGCUGGUGAAUGUGGUGGGGUUCCAGGCCCUGUGUUUUUCUAAUUAAUGAUUUUAAUUGCAGGGUGUGAUUCACCCUGCAGGCCUUGCAACAAGCAGCUCCCCUUGAAACAGCACCAAAUGCAGGUGAUGCUGCUGCCCAUGCUGGCAGGUUUUUGGCUCCUCUUAAACCAGGUCUCUGCUUGACAAGUUUAUUUUAUUUGGAAAGAAACAUUCCUGUCUUCUCAGUAUCACCUCAGCAAGGAGCUGAGAGUGAAUUGCAACAAGCUUUGCUGAAUCAAGCUGAUGUAAAAGAGACAGGAUAAAAGAAGGACACAUUGCAGGAAAGGGACACUGUCGUCACAAUAAAUGGGGAACUUUUUAAUAUACAUGGGGAAAAGAAAAAGCUUUUUUUGCUCUUUAUUUUGGUUUUUUUAAUAUUAUGUUCUGUUUCCAUUAAGAGUUUGUGCUUUGAGAUCUCCAGCACCUGCCUGAGCAGCUGGAGCAGGGAUGAGUAAGGAAAAUGAUGAAUAAAAAACAGGGAACUGAAGGUAGGAAAGGAAAAUAACAUCCAGAUGAGUGAGUGAGCUGGGCGAGAGAUGAACUCUUUUAUAGGGUGCGGGAUAUGAGUGGAACAGAUGUGAUUUCAUGGUGAGAGAGCAGAGGAAAUAUGGAGAGGCAGAAGAGGAAAAAUGAAUUCUGCUAAGUGGGCAGCCUUGUUUCAGCAGGAACGGUCGAGAUGGAAGCUUCUCAAUGCAAAUGUGAGAAGGCUGAGAAUGAGUGGGAAUGAGUGGAACUUUGGGAAGAGCUCGUUCCUCCUGGUUAUUCAGUCAGCACAGCAAUGCAGUUUCUCCAGUUGUUUGAAAAAAUUGCAGCCCCGUCCAUUUCUGUGCUGUUAUCCCACUUUGUCAGACAAGCAGCUGAGCCCCUUCAAAAAGCAGACAACAUUCUUAGAGUGAUGCACUGGGACUGCAAAAGUAUUUCAGCUCCUCCACUGUAUCUUUUCACUGCCUCACUUCUAUUCUUGUGUUUGUCUUUGCUGCAGUGAAGGAUGAGUUUUUCCUCAGUUACUGUAAAAACCUGGAAGAAAAAGGUAGGCAGUGUGUUCCCUCAGAUCAAAAGUGCCUUCAGGAACUGUAUCUAGGGGGAAAUAUGGCUGAGCAUUGAUUUCAAGCCACUGCAAAAGAGGGAGCAGAACUAGAAAGGCUGUUUGCCAAAAACACAGCUUGGCCUCAAAAGCCUUAUCCAGAAUAAAUCAGAAAGUUUAAAAACAAAUUAAACCCAAAACAAAACCAAAGAACCAGCUAAGCCAAAUCCCUCAGAUUAAGAAAAACAAAGAAACAGAAUAAAAUCCUGAACCUAAAGCAGCUGAGACAGCCAGGGUAGGAUCAAGCUAAUUUUGAGGAGAACAGUGUAUGAUUAGAGAUGGUGGUGAAUGGAAUUCAGAGGAAGAGGUGGCUGAAGAUACAGAAAUGAAUACUGUCAUUCCAGUCACCAAGGACAGCUUAGCAAAACCCAGUCUAAGGUGGUAGCUGUUCCCAGCUGAAGGCUGUUCAAUGGCAUCCCAGGCAGUGUGGGGUGUAGUGGCUCUGGCUUAGAUAAAUAAAUAGCAAGAAUCUAAGAAAUGGCAUGCAAAUUAGGUACAUCCAUCAAGUCAGCAGUGGUAUAGAUUCUGGCUUUCUUAUAAAUUGGUUUAUUGCAUUUUCUGCUUGUUGUGUCUUGGGACCCAUCUCAAAGAGCUGUGAGUCUAUUUAAAUGGCUUUCACUGCUUGUAGUUAAGAAUGAAAAGGAAGAUUACCCAGUGCUGGUCAAAGGCAGGGAAGCUGUAGCUUUAUCUCCAAGUAGUGGUGGCAACUCAUCAGGCAAACAGCUGGGAGAAAAGCCUGGAAAAGCCUCUUGUGUUUCCUCUUAAUGCUUAGUUCCUUUCCCCCACCUCCACUUUAACUGGUGGGUUACAGCUCUCGUCCUACAUCUGCCUCCUACAUACCUUCUCUGGUUUUGUGUUCCUCCUCUCCACAUCCCUCUGCCUCUGUUCCUUAUGCUAAUGUAGCAAGAUUACAAAUCCAAGCCACUGGCAUUCUUAGGAUGGAUUUAAAAACAGCCUUUGAGACUUUGUCUUUCAGUUAUGAUUUCAGCUAAAACCAAGAUUUAUUGAAUGAGGGGAAAAAAGGCAUGAAGAGUUGUUCCCUCAUGUUUAAGCUAGAGUAGCCAAUAACCCAAUGUUUUAAAAGUGCAAACUUCAGGGGACUUUUUUGGUUGGAGGAAGGCCAAGAGGUGCUUUGCAAUGCCUUGUUUUCCCCUUUGUCCUGCCAGAACCGGUUAAGUAAUUAAAACAUUUUAUAGAAUCAUUACUGUGUGUGAGCAUAUGUCUCUCUCGUCUGAGUAACUCAUUAAAGUGGAACAAUUAAAACAGAAGGGAGCCUGCUGUAGCCAGUUGUGCUCAUGUGAAGGGCUGGCAGGGCGACUGGGGAGCGGGGAACCUGCUGCACUCAAGUCUUGAGGACUGGAGCUGUUGGGCAAAAUUAAGACUGAAAGGAAAAAUGAUUGUUCUCUGUGGAUGUAUCAGUGUAGGGGAGGGAAGGAACCACUUAUGUGAAAAGUAUGUUGGCACAGUAAAUAUAAACAAGGAGUUAAUAAACUGAGGCUAGAAAUAAAACAUACAUACAUACAUACAUACAUAUAUAUAUAUAUAUACACACACACUUCUAAGCAUUGAAGCAGCCUGGUGACAUGGACAUAGAUGAACAACCUCCUAGCUUGAGGAAGGUUUUAGAAUGUAAAGCCUGCAGUAGCAAAUGCCAUUUUCAGCCAGUCAGAAGGUAUCUUUGGUUCUGUGUGCUGAGCUAGUCCUGCAAGAUCUGAGAACCCUGCAAAGAGCUUGGCCAAGCCAUGCCUGACAGCCCCACCUCUCCUGCCCUGCUCUCAGCACUCUGCCUUUCAGCAAGAUGUGGGGUACAGCUACAAACCCCUGUUCUAAUGCCAUGGGUUUUUUACUUGUGUCUCUAAUCUGCUGGUCCAUACAGUUCUUUUUCUUUUGAUAUGUCUUCAUUAUUUUUGGCUGUUUCUUUGCUUGAAACCAUGGUCCAACUUAAGAGUCUGUACUGGCUCAUUACAUACCUUGCAUCACUUUUGGCAAAGGAGCAAGAAGGAAAUUUGCACUUGAACAAGAUUUGGAUGAAUGCAGAAGAUUCCUGAAGAUGGCAAUUAAUUUAAAUUCCUUUUCUCACCGCCUUUGAAACCCUGGGAUCAUCUCAGAAAAUGUGUUUCUAGCUCCCCUAGCAAGCUUUAAAUCAACCAGACCUCAGCGAAUAAAACAUGGCAUUGUGAUUCCCUGCCAAAUUGAAAAUAAAAUGGUAACCGACUGAAAAUUAAUUUGCACAAUGAGAAACUCUCAUAGAAGUUGAAGAAAUAUCUGUUUGUCUGAUGCUCUGUGAUUUGAUGGGUGAAGUUUUUUUAUUCAUUAAUUUGGAUACCUCAGUUUAAAUCUCUUCUGCUACCUAGGGUGCAGUGGGGGGAGAAAGGGAUGCAGGCUCUGCAUGGAUGAGGGGAAUGCCAGGAGCACUGCACUUGUGUCCUUAAAGAUUAUUACCCCCAGUGCCUCCCAGAGCUGAGAGAAGGGUGGCAUAAUAUACAGAGAUAUAAAUUCUCUGAGGCAGAGCAUAGAAUUUUACAACCUAAGUGUAAUAGGAUGUAUUGUGCCAUCAGCAAAGUCUACAGAGUUUCAUGUGAUUAAAAUAAAAAAAAAAAAGGAUCCAAGAAUAUGCUUUUAACUACCAUUUUAGAGGCAAUAAUUUUUUGUCUCUUGGCAUUUAUAUUGGCCAUCAAGAGGGAGGUAAGCUGUGCCAUAAUAAUAAUAAUAAGAAUAAUAAUAAAUGCUGCCUCUCACUUCUUUCAAUAUGGUUAAAUGCCCAUGUUUUUCUCUGAAAAUAAAACAUUCUCAUGACCAAAAUCUCAGAACUGUUUUCAUGAUAACUUGGAAAUUUAUUCUGAAAUUUUGAUAGUCCUGUGUGCUGCUAGAGAGAACUUUCAUUAGUAAAUUCCCAUCAGGAUGACACUAAUGGCUAUAAAAUCAGGGAAAGCUAAUGAAAGAGAAUCCCAUAAGUAGUUAGGACUUAUUUUUCCCAUCUUACUAUGUUUGCCAUCCUCUUUCAGAAAUACAGAUUCCCUCAGGCUGGGAGCCACUGAAAAUCUUUGGGGGUUUUAUUUUAGCAGUCUGUAUUAUCCUAAAGUCCCUUGAUCACUGUAUUACAGUUAAGAAUAAAACAGGAAAUUACCAAUAAA